rnacentral:snRNA from 1 species
GGACAUGAGGGUGAUCUGGCUGUGAUAUUUGUCACCUCAUUGAUCACUAGGGUUGAUCUGGCUGAUCUGGCUGGCCAGGCGGGCGUCCCAGUCCUCCCUUACCACUCCAUGUGUGUCUCCCUCAAGCUGUGUACUUGGUGCAAGAGGGCAAUCAUCCCCUAUAGAGGAGCACCAUUUUUCGGUCAAGGGUAUACAAGUAGCUCUGGUCCCCUGCUAGAACUUCCAACAAGCUCUCAAGAGCCAACCCUGAGGACUAACUCAGAACCAUCUCUGUUCUGGGUACCAUGUCAGAUGCUAAGGAU